rnacentral:misc_RNA from 1 species
UACGGAGGGUGCAAACGUUGCUCGGAAUCAUUGGGCGUAAAGCGCACGUAGGCGGUCUGGUAAGUCGGAUGUGAAAGCCCUCGGCUCAACCGAGGAAGUGCAUUCGAAACUGUCAGACUUGAGUACGGGAGGGGGGUGCGGAAUUCCCGGUGUAGAGGUGAAAUUCGUAGAUAUCGGGAGGAACACCAGUGGCGAAGGCGGCACCCUGGACCGAUACUGACGCUGAGGUGCGAAAGCGUGGGGAGCAAACAGG